UGUACUAAAAUUCCACAUGGAAUUUGUAUUUUUUAUUAUUUGUUUAAUUAGCAUGGUCACUGGAAGACAGUUAACGUAGUUUUCAAAUAUUUAACUACCCCCUUGGUUGUUAACAGCUCACUGCCUUCCAGCGGCCGUUCUGGUUCUGUCCUAACCAACCACUAAUGAUUUUGCUUUCUUCCUGAGGUUGACGGAAACUUAAGUCAGUUACGAAGGAGAUUUCAAUCACGAAGGGUCUCGUAACUCAGAUACUCUGAGCUCUAUUGACUAUAUAAGGAUAUACAGCUAUAUCUUUGAAGUGACGACGACUAUUCCUUUCGACAUGUAAUCGCCGUUUAAACCCAGCCAGGAAGAAGCAUUCCUUCAUCGCAGUCUCUCACUCUACACUUACUUCGCCUUCGUCCCAGGAUGAUAUCGGGAUAUAAUGAAUUAUGUACUACGUGGACGUCAGUUUGGACUGUUGGUAUAUAUAUAAUUUUAGAUUUUCCAAGGUAUUUUGGAAGUGGCUGAAUUACUGCGGCUCCCCCAAGCUUCACGAUGAUCAACUUUGUGUAUUAGCUGCCGCAUCAGCACCUGGAUGAUAGGACAGUUUUCAAUUACAAUAAAUUACUUAAUUUUU